GGAGUCUGGGCCGUGUCUCAGUCCCAAUGUGGCCGUUUGUCCUCUCAGACCGGCUACUGAUCGUCGCCUUGGUAAGCUCUUACCUCACCAACUAGCUAAUCAGACGCAGACCCAUCUUUCGGCGAUAGCUUAUAAAUAGAGGCCAUCUUUAGUAACUUCCCCAUGCGAGAAAAUCACUUCAUUCGGUAUUAGCAGACCUUUCGAUCUGUUGUCCCCAUCCCAAAGGUAGGUUAUCUACGCGUUACUCACCCGUUUGCCACUAGGUCAGCAAAAGCAAGCUUUUAAUGACCCCGUUCGACUUGCAUGUGUUAAGCACGCCGCCAGCGUGUCCUCGAGCCACGGAGUCAAACUACU
rnacentral:rRNA from 1 species